rnacentral:lncRNA from 1 species
GUUCAUUCGGAUCUAUAUAAAAGGCACUACCCAGUAAUUCAGACCACUUUCUUUCCUGUUCCCUCUAAACCCUGGCCGACAACUUCAUCGUAUUCUUUGUUCUUCUUUGCUAAUCUGCCCUCUCAAUUCGAAGAUGAAGAUGAGCAUCAGUCUUGAUGUAAACUCCAUGGCGUCCAGGCUAACAAGAGAUCUGGGCACUCCAAAUAAGUGAGACAGGCAAGAUUCAUUUUUAGUUUUGUAAAUCAUGAAGAAUAAGAGCCUUUUAACAGCUGCUUAAUAACCCAUUUUCUCAAGUGUUGUUGGUGCUGGUAUAUUUGCUUUAAGAAGUAUUGGUUAGAAAUUGGAAGGAUAUAUGCUCGGUUCUGAAAGACGCUGUCAAAGUUGGAGUAGGUGGGGAAGAAAAGUUGGGGGACAAAGCGCGGAUGGAGAGGGAAAAAAAUUCUUAGUCACUCAGUUUAUAAAUGAGGCGGCAAAUCGGAUCCGGAACAAGGUGGCGGCUGAAGAUUUUAGAUGGAACCUAUGAGUUCUAAAAGAGGUCCUUUUCUUUAUCUGGAAGCUCGUGCAGGGCUGCAUCGCUGAAAAAAUUGUGCUUCUGCAGCGUGGGGUUUCUAUUAUGUUAACGAGAGUUUUGCCUAUUGAGGAGAGACUCGGAACUUUGGAAGUGAUGGGUUCAAAAGCAUCUCAGCUCAUAUAAAAGAUAUUACAUCCAGUUAUGAAGCAGUUUGCUCCAGAAGAUGGUUUGGUUUCUUUGAUGGUUUGCUCUAGAUCUUGUGAUAACGAGUUUAAUUUGUUACAUCCUAUGGAUAUUGUUGGCAAAACGAAAGAGCAUACUUCUCUCCUGAAAGGGUCACCGUGGUUUCCAUAUGCACCCAAUAACAAAUUCAAUUUGGCAGGUGGCAGGAUACUGAGUUUCCUGUGACAUAAAGAGACCGUCUAGGUCUUCGAAGAAGAGCAAAACAAUUUACUUAAACAUAUGGAGAAAAGAGACACGAAAUAUAUGCGCCUUCAGAGGCAUAAAAUGGGUGCCGAUGAUUUUGAGCCAUUAACAAUGAUAGGAAAAAGGUCCAUUUGGAGAGGUUAGAAUAUGUAGGGAGAAGACUACCGGCAAUGUGUAUGCAAUGAAAAAACUUAAAAA